AAAGGAAUUGGUUAGAAACUAACUAAGUGGCAGUGGUGUAAAUAUGACUUAGUUAGAGGGUAUUAUGGACCUUAACCUUAUAUUGCAUGGCACAUGAUUGCUUAGUUAGAGACACAUUAUUCCAAACUCAGAAUUUGUGAAGAGAGAAGUGGAAAGAGAAGUAGAAGAAGCUUUGCAUCUCCAUUCAAGUUUCAUUUUCGUAUUCCAAUGGCAGCCUCCACUAAAUCAGCUUGUUUAUUGGUGGAGAUAAACGCAUUUGAAGAUUGAUGAUUGAUGCUGAAAGUGAGUACAAGAGUGGUUACGGGUUUGAUCAUAUUAGAGGUGAAGUGUUGGUCAAAGAGAGAGUUCAAUGGCAGCAAGAGUAUUCUCAUAACCCCCAUUAAAUCCAUGGUGCAGUUUAGUAGCUUUUGGCAGAUAGCAGGUUCGGAUUUAUGGCUUGAAGUGGUGUUGGCUCGAAGACCUCGUCAGAUCUCAUUUUCCGCUGUGCAGAUCCAUUGAAGACACAUGUUUUGUAAUUCUUAUUAGAAUUUCAUGUUGUAUUUUAUAUGGAUCUUUCUAUAUCUAUAGCUUUUGUAUGUACUCAAUAUCAAUUUUAACGUUUCAUGCAUAA